rnacentral:lncRNA from 13 species
CCGAGUGUGCACGGCAGCUGCAGCCCCAGUUCACACUGGAGUCUUUGGACACUAUUUGAGGAGUUAUUUAUAACCACGUCUGCUAGACUUGGUCUAGGUCAGACAAGAGAGUGUCGAAGACCAAGGGAACCUGUAAGGCUCGGCUGCUACUCCACUUCUCCCCAGGACCUUCAGCUGCAUUGUAUCCUGGGUAAUUCCAUUUUGUACACACAAAAAAAAAGGAAAUUUUUUUUAAAGUAAGUAUUCUGAUAAUCUUGUCAGAGUGAAAAGGAUAAG